AGAGUUUGAUUCUGGCUCAGAACGAACGCUGGCAGCGUGGAUUAGGCAUGCAAGUCGAACGUGAAGCCGUUGAACAAUCUUUCGGGAGAGUGAUUCGGUGGAAAGUGGCGGAAGGGCGAGUAACGCGUGGGUGAGCUGUCUCGAAGUUGGGGACAACCAGAUGAAAAUCUGGCUAAUACCGAAUGUGGUCUUCUGGCGCAUGUCAGGAUGACUAAAGGUGGGGAUUCUUCGGAACCUGCCGCUUUGAGAGGUGCCCGCGUGCCAUCAGCUUGUUGGUAGGGUAAUGGCCUACCAAGGCUUACGGCUAGCCGGCCUGAGAGGGUGAUCGGCCACACUGGGACUGAGACACUGCCCAGACUCCUACGGGAGGCUGCAGUCGAGGAUCAUUCGCAAUGCGCGAAAGCGUGACGAUGCGACGCUGCGUGGGGGAUGAAGGCCUUCGGGUCGUAAACUCCUGUCAUGAGGGAACAGUAUCCCUGUAAUUAAUAGUUGCGGGGCUCGAUGGUACCUCAAGAGGAAGCCACGGCUAACUCUGUGCCAGCAGCCGCGGUAAUACAGAGGUGGCGAGCGUUGUUCGGAUUUACUGGGCGUAAAGGGUGCGUAGGUGGUUUUGUGUGUCGGAUGUGAAAUCCCAUGGCUCAACUGUGGAAUUGCAAUCGAAACUGCGGAACUAGAGUGCAGGAUGGGAGAGCGGAAUUCUUGGUGUAGCGGUGAAAUGCGUUGAUAUCAAGAAGAACACCGGUGGCGAAGGCGGCUCUCUGGAAUGCUACUGACACUGAGGCACGAAAGCUGGGGGAGCGAACAGGAUUAGAUACCCUGGUAGUCCCAGCCGUAAACGGUGUACACUUGGUGUGGGGAGAUUUAACCCUCUCCGUGCCGGAGUUAACGCGUUAAGUGUGCCGCCUGGGGAGUACGGCCGCAAGGCUAAAACUCAAAGAAAUUGACGGGGGCCCGCACAAGCGGAGGAGCAUGUGGCUUAAUUCGAUGCAACGCGAAGAACCUUACCAGGGCUUGACAUGGGGACCCUUCGGGGGUGGUAGCGAAAGUUACCUUUACCAUCACAGGUGCUGCAUGGCUGUCGUCAGUUCGUGCCGUGAGGUGUUGGGUUAAGUCCCGUAACGAACGCGACCCUUGUGGCUAGUUGCCACCGGUGGUGAUGAGCCGCCGAGCACUCUAGCCAGACUGCCCGUACAAGCGGGAGGAAGGUGGGGAUGACGUCAAGUCAGUAUGGCCCUUACGUCCUGGGCUGCACACGUGCUACAAUGGUCGGUACAGUGGGAUGCAAUACCGCGAGGUGGAGCAAAUCCCCAAAGCCGCCCUCAGUUCGGAUUGAAGUCUGCAACUCGACUUCAUGAAGUUGGAUUCGCUAGUAACGGCGCAUCAGCUACGGCGCCGUGAAUACGUUCCCGGGCCUUGUACACACCGCCCGUCACAUCAUGAAAGCCGUCUGCACCCGAAGUCGCUGAGCCAACCAUUUAUGGAGGCAGGUGCCGAAGGUGUGGGUGGUGAUUGGGAU
rnacentral:rRNA from 1 species